GACGAACGCUGGCGGCGUGCUUAACACAUGCAAGUCGAACGGAAAGGCCCUGCUUUUGUGGGGUGCUCGAGUGGCGAACGGGUGUGUAUCACGUGUGUAACCUCCCCUUGACUUUGGGAUCACUUCAUGAAACUGGGGCUAAUACCGGAUAGGAGCUCCUGCUGCAUGGUGGUGUUUGGAAAGUUUCGGCGGUUGUGGAUGGAGUCGAGGCUUAUCAGCUUGUUGGUGGUGUAGUGGCUUACCAAGGCUUUGACGGGUAGCCGGCCUGAGAGGGUGACCGGCCACAAUGGGACUGAGAUACGGCCCAGAGUGAUACGGGAGGAAGGAGUGGAGAAUAGUGCAAAAUGGGCGGAAGCCGGAUGCAGAAACGACGCGUGGGGGAUGACGGCCGGCGGGGAGUAAACCGCUUUAGACUGUGACGAAGAGUGAGUGACGGUAAUGGGUAAAGAAGCACCGGCUAACUACGUG
rnacentral:rRNA from 1 species